GACGAACGCUGGCGGCGUGCUUAACACAUGCAAGUCGAACGGAAAGGCCCUGCUUUUGUGGGGUGCUCGAGUGGCGAACGGGUGAGUAACACGUGAGUAACCUGCCCUUGACUUUGGGAUAACUUCAGGAAACUGGGGCUAAUACCGGAUAGGAGCUCCUGCUGCAUGGUGGGGGUUGGAAAGUUUCGGCGGUUGGGGAUGGACUCGCGGCUUAUCAGCUUGUUGGUGGGGUAGUGGCUUACCAAGGCUUUGACGGGUAGCCGGCCUGAGAGGGUGACCGGCCACAUUGGGACUGAGAUACGGCCCAGACUCCUACGGGAGGCAGCAGUGGGGAAUAUUGCACAAUGGGCGGAAGCCUGAUGCAGCAACGCCGCGUGCGGGAUGACGGCCUUCGGGUUGUAAACCGCUUUCGCCUGUGACGAAGCGUGAGUGACGGUAAUGGGUAAAGAAGCACCGGCUAACUACGUGCCAGCAGCCGCGGUGAUACGUAGGGUGCGAGCGUUGUCCGGAUUUAUUGGGCGUAAAGGGCUCGUAGGUGGUUGAUCGCGUCGGAAGUGUAAUCUUGGGGCUUAACCCUGAGCGUGCUUUCGAUACGGGUUGACUUGAGGAAGGUAGGGGAGAAUGGAAUUCCUGGUGGAGCGGUGGAAUGCGCAGAUAUCAGGAGGAACACCAGUGGCGAAGGCGGUUCUCUGGGCCUUUCCUGACGCUGAGGAGCGAAAGCGUGGGGAGCGAACAGGCUUAGAUACCCUGGUAGUCCACGCUGUAAACGGUGGGUACUAGGUGUGGGGUCCAUUCCACGGGUUCCGUGCCGUAGCUAACGCUUUAAGUACCCCGCCUGGGGAGUACGGCCGCAAGGCUAAAACUCAAAGGAAUUGACGGGGCCCCGCACAAGCGGCGGAGCAUGCGGAUUAAUUCGAUGCAACGCGUAGAACCUUACCUGGGUUUGACAUGGAUCGGGAGCGCUCAGAGAUGGGUGUGCCUCUUUUGGGGUCGGUUCACAGGUGGUGCAUGGCUGUCGUCAGCUCGUGUCGUGAGAUGUUGGGUUAAGUCCCGCAACGAGCGCAACCCUUGUUCACUGUUGCCAGCACGUUAUGGUGGGGACUCAGUGGAGACCGCCGGGGUCAACUCGGAGGAAGGUGGGGAUGACGUCAAGUCAUCAUGCCCCUUAUGUCCAGGGCUUCACGCAUGCUACAAUGGCUGGUACAGAGAGUGGCGAGCCUGUGAGGGUGAGCGAAUCUCGAAAAGCCGGUCUCAGUUCGGAUUGGGGUCUGCAACUCGACCUCAUGAAGUCGGAGUCGCUAGUAAUCGCAGAUCAGCAACGCUGCGGUGAAUACGUUCCCGGG
rnacentral:rRNA from 1 species